GAUGAACGCUGGCGGCGUGCCUAAUACAUGCAAGUCGAGCGAACAGACGAGGAGCUUGCUCCUCUGACGUUAGCGGCGGACGGGUGAGUAACACGUGGUUAACCUACCUAUAAGACUGGGAUAACUUCGGGAAACCGGAGCUAAUACCGGAUAAUAUAUUGAACCGCAUGGUUCAAUAGUGAAAGACGGUUUUGCUGUCACUUAUAGAUGGAUCCGCGCCGCAUUAGCUAGUUGGUAAGGUAACGGCUUACCAAGGCAGCGAUGCGUAGCCGACCUGAGAGGGUGAUCGGCCACACUGGAACUGAGACACGGUCCAGACUCCUACGGGAGGCAGCAGUAGGGAAUCUUCCGCAAUGGGCGAAAGCCUGACGGAGCAACGCCGCGUGAGUGAUGAAGGUCUUCGGAUCGUAAAACUCUGUUAUUAGGGAAGAACAAAUGUGUAAGUAACUAUGCACGUCUUGACGGUACCUAAUCAGAAAGCCACGGCUAACUACGUG
rnacentral:rRNA from 1 species